rnacentral:rRNA from 1 species
CCAGACUCCUACGGGGGGCAGCAGUGGGGAAUAUUGCACAAUGGGGGAAACCCUGAUGCAGCGACGCCGCGUGAGUGAAGAAGUAAUUCGUUAUGUAAAGCUCUAUCAGCAGGGAAGAAGAUGACGGUACCUGAGUAAGAAGCCCCGGCUAACUACGUGCCAGCAGCCGCGGUAAUACGUAGGGGGCAAGCGUUAUCCGGAUUUACUGGGUGUAAAGGGAGCGUAGACGGCAGUGCAGGUCUGGAGUGAAAGGCGGGGGCUCAACCCCCGGACUGCUCUGGAAACUGUACGGCUGGAGUGCAGGAGAGGUAAGUGGAAUUCCUAGUGUAGCGGUGAAAUGCGUAGAUAUUAGGAGGAACACCAGUGGCGAAGGCGGCUUGCUGGACUGUAACUGACGUUGAGGCUCGAAAGCGUGGGGAGCAAACAGGAUUAGAUACCCCAGUAAUG